CUUCAUUGCUACACCCUCACGACUAAUGACAGCGCUUAAUCCCCUUUGUCUUUCAAGUGCAGCUUUGUCAGCCGCGCUAUAACUUGGCAUCUACCGGGUAUAUCCUUUUAAGUACUCUCAUUAGCCGCGCGAGUCACUGUAGCUGAAGAGGUUCAAAUAUUUCAGAAACGGAAUUUAAGUUUCUUAAAUUCUACUUUCUAGAAGAAAAGGGGCCCCGAUAGGCCCCUUUCC
rnacentral:sRNA from 1 species